CAAUACCUAUAAGCAUACACUCGUAUAAUCUUGGAAAUAGGGUCCAAGAGUUUCUACCAAACUACCGUAAAUAGUUGGACUACGAGAGUUGAACAUUUUUAU
rnacentral:ncRNA from 2 species